UACAACCAUAUCACUUUGAAACUGCAGUUCCCAUACGAUCACCAAAAUUAAGCAACACUGAGCCUGGGCAGUAUUUAUAUGAGUGACUGCUUGUGAAUACCAGGUGAUGUAA